rfam:Lentinula edodes NBRC 111202 DNA, contig: scaffold451.
GGUCCAAUAGUGUAGAGGUUAUCACACGGGAUUCUGAUGUGGUAUGUCACAGCCUGAAUUUCCCGUGACCCAGGUUCGAGUCCUGGUUGGACCU